UACGUAGGGUGCGAGCGUUGUCCGGAAUUAUUGGGCGUAAAGAGCUCGUAGGCGGUCUGUCGCGUCUGCUGUGAAAUCCCGGGGCUCAACCCCGGGCUUGCAGUGGAUACGGGCAGACUAGAGUUCGGUAGGGGAGACUGGAAUUCCUGGUGUAGCGGUGAAAUGCGCAGAUAUCAGGAGGAACACCGGUGGCGAAGGCGGGUCUCUGGGCAACAACUGACGCUGAGGAGCGAAAGCGUGGGGAGCGAACAGG
rnacentral:rRNA from 1 species